rnacentral:rRNA from 1 species
GAUGAACGCUGGCGGCGUGCCUAAUACAUGCAAGUCGAGCGAACAGACGAGGAGCUUGCUCCUCUGACGUUAGCGGCGGACGGGUGAGUAACACGUGGAUAACCUACCUAUAAGACUGGGAUAACUUCGGGAAACCGGAGCUAAUACCGGAUAAUAUAUUGAACCGCAUGGUUCAAUAGUGAAAGACGGUUUUGCUGUCACUUAUAGAUGGAUCCGCGCCGCAUUAGCUAGUUGGUAAGGUAACGGCUUACCAAGGCGACGAUGCGUAGCCGACCUGAGAGGGUGAUCGGCCACAAUGGAACUGAGACACGGUCCAGAAUCCUACGGGAGGCAGCAGUAGGGAAUCUUCCGCAAUGGGCGAAAGCCUGACGGAGCAACGCCGCGUGAGUGAUGAAGGUCUUCGGAUCGUAAAACUCUGUUAUUAGGGAAGAACAAAUGUGUAAGUAACUAUGCACGUCUUGACGGUACCUAAUCAGAAAGCCACGGCUAACUACGUG